ensembl:lncRNA
AAAGUUGACUCUGCUGUCUUAACUGGCACCGCUGUGAGGGACUUUGGUUUAGUGACCACUUACAACAAGAGUGUACAAAUCCCCUGCUUCCUGUGUAACAGUCUCUACACCUCCGAGAGCCCUGCUUCCUGUGCAAGGCUGUCUCUACGUCUCCUAGGCAGUCUGUGGCCUCACGACGGCCUUUGGCCCACCUAGCAUAGAGCUUUCAUGCUAAGUGCUCCCCAGAAAGAGAUGACACCCUGGACCUAAUCAUAUACUUUGGAUCAAAUUUUAUAUGGCUGUGAAUUUGUUUCCUAAUUACCUACGUUCAAAACCUUGAAUAAUUACAAAGACAAAAGGCAUAUAAAAGCAAAAUAAAAAUUUCCCUCCUGGCUUUGUGUCAUUAAGGGGCCACCCAUUCCCAUUUUAAGACAAAG